AUGCAGCCGGGAGGACUAGGUAAUUCUGUGCCCUCCCCACAGUGGACUGGGAACGACUUGAGGAUGGUGGCCUGUCCAUCUCUUGCAUCCGUCAUCAGAGCCGAGAGUAACGCUGGCUCAUGCCAAAUGCUCCAUGUUUGCACAUGUGAAGGACUGAGCCAAGUUGAAAAAGAUGACCUUCUGGCUUUUUUGGGUAGGAGCUUUUCUUUUCUUACUGGGUGCUAAGAAGUGUUUUAAAUCUGGGGGACAGCAGAGGCAGAAACAUUAGGAUUGUGGUAAUUCACGGCGGAUAUUUAUUCUAACGAUUGACUUUCAGAUUCUAUCCCUUUAACUGCCAUGCUUAACCUUUAUUCUCCUGAGUUAAAAUUUGCUGCAUUUCCCUAGGUUUCAGAUGAAACGAGUGACUGUGAGUAUGCGUAUGUUUUACCUGGGGACAAUCAUUCAUUAGUGACCUAAACUUGCAUGAAUAAAUGUCCAUUCACAGUAAUCA
rnacentral:lncRNA from 13 species